rnacentral:lncRNA from 1 species
CUUUUCCUGCAUUCUUUUACUGUCGAUAACUCACUUUACAUCAUGGAAGAAAAAAAGGGCUCUUUUCUUUUUCUUCUUUGAAUGACCCAAAUGUUCAGCAAUCUGCAGAGAUUGCAGUGAUCAUAGGCCUGAGCAGUUCACUGUUUUCUGAUAUGGAUUUUUUUCUUUCCCUCAUCUCUGUUCUUGCAGCACAAUAUGUGAUCCCAUCUACAGCAACAAGCUACUUCACACUGUUUUCUUUUCUUUUGCUGAUAUAUGUUCAUGUAGCACAGUGUGUGAUCCGCCUACAGCAGCUGGCAAUGAAAUGCCUGCAAAAUGCCAAGCAAGCAUUGUCAUCAUCACAUGGUUGGUGCAAAUGCCUUCUUUGUCACCAAGAAAAGCCCACACUUCACAAGCUAUAUCUAUCUUGGUAGCAGACCAACACAGGCCUCUGUGUCUUGUCUUGAUUCAGGGAAACCUUGCUGUGAACUCAGCCAUGGCUUCUGACAAACAUUUACAGAUACUAGAUAGGUGAACACUUGCUAUGGAUCCAUGAAGAGGUCUAUUCCUUUGAGUGAAGCUUUUCAAAGGCUCAUUGCUAAGUGACAGCUUGUCAAAC